rnacentral:misc_RNA from 1 species
AAUAUGGAACCGAAGAAUAUAUGGGCCAAAAAUGACAGCAAGUACCUAUACGAAGGGUCACCAUAUGCUCAAUUACCUCCAUUACCCGAGGAAACUUCAGACUCUUAAAGCCUCUUUUAUUUUGAAAAUAUGAAUUAACCUCGCUUUUAUUUUUAAAUAAAAGUUUUUGUGAGCUUGUAUUUAUGUUUAAUGUCCAUUGUUGUAGUAUUUAAUGCGUGGUACUAUUAUAAUAAUAAUGAUAAUAAUGGCACACGUUGAGUAAAAAAAA